rnacentral:rRNA from 1 species
AUACGAAGGGUGCAAGCGUUAAUCGGAAUUACUGGGCGUAAAGCGCGCGUAGGUGGUUCGUUAAGUUGGAUGUGAAAGCCCCGGGCUCAACCUGGGAACUGCAUCCAAAACUGGCGAGCUAGAGUAUAGCAGAGGGUGGUGGAAUUUCCUGUGUAGCGGUGAAAUGCGUAGAUAUAGGAAGGAACACCAGUGGCGAAGGCGACCACCUGGGCUAAUACUGACACUGAGGUGCGAAAGCGUGGGGAGCAAACAGGAUUAGAUACCCGGGUAGUCCACGCCGUAAACGAUGUCGACUAGCCGUUGGGAUCCUUGAGAUCUUAGUGGCGCAGCUAACGCAUUAAGUCGACCGCCUGGGAGUACGGCCGCAAGGUUAAAACUCAAAUGAAUUGGCGGGG